rnacentral:rRNA from 1 species
UGCAAGUCGAACGAGAAAGGGUCUUCGGACCUGAGUAGAGUGGCGCACGGGUGAGUAACGCGUAAGUAACCUGCCCCUUUAUCUGGGAUAACAGUGCGAAAGUGCUGCUAAUACCGGAUACGUUCACUGAUCGCGAGGUUGGUGAGGAAAGGUGACCUCUUCAUGAAAGUUACCGUAGAGGGAGGGGCUUGCGUACCAUUAGCUUGUUGGUGGGGUAACGGCUCACCAAGGCGACGAUGGUUAGCGGGUCUGAGAGGAUGAUCCGCCACACUGGAACUGAAACACGGACCAGACUCCUACGGGAGGCAGCAGUGAGGAAUAUUGCGCAAUGGGGGCAACCCUGACGCAGCGACGCCGCGUGAGUGAAGAAGGCCUUCGGGUUGUAAAGCUCUGUCGGAAGGGAAGAAAUGUGCAGCGGUUAAUACCCGUUGCAUUUGACGGUACCUUCAAAGGAAGCACCGGCUAACUCCGUGCCAGCAGCCGCGGUAAUACGGAGGGUGCGAGCGUUAAUCGGAAUUACUGGGCGUAAAGGGCGCGUAGGCGGCCGAUCAAGUCAGGUGUGAAAGCCCACGGCUCAACCGUGGAUGUGCAUUUGAAACUGGUUGGCUUGAGUAUCGGAAGGGGAGAUGGAAUUCCCGGUGUAGAGGUGAAAUUCGUAGAUAUCGGGAGGAAUACCGGUGGCGAAGGCGAUCUUCUGGACGAAUACUGACGCUGAGGCGCGAAAGCGUGGGGAGCAAACAGGAUUAGAUACCCUGGUAGUCCACAGCUGUAAACGAUGUGCACUAGAUGUAGGGGGGAAUUGACCCCCUCUGUGUCGUAGCUAACGCGAUAAGUGCACCGCCUGGGGAGUACGGCCGCAAGGUUAAAACUCAAAGGAAUUGACGGGGGCCCGCACAAGCGGUGGAGUAUGUGGUUUAAUUCGACGCAACGC